UUCCCGUCCUUGAACACGGACCAAGAAGUCUAACAUGUGCGCGAGUCAUUGGGUUAAAAACCUAAAGGCGGAAUGAAAGUAAAGGAAGCUUUGCUUUCUGAGGGAGGAUGGACACGUCGGCCCAACGGGCGGUGCCCCGCACUCCCGGGGCGUCUCUUUCUCAUUGCGAGUAGAGGCGCACCCAGAGCGUACACGUUAGGACCCGAAAGAUGGUGAACUAUGCCUGGCCAGGACGAAGCCAGGGGAAACCCUGGUGGAGGUCCGUAGCGAUUCUGACGUGCAAAUCGAUCGUCAGAGCUGGGUAUAGGGGCGAAAGACUAAUCGAACCAUCUAGUAGCUGGUUCCCUCCGAAGUUUCCCUCAGGAUAGCUGGUGCUCAUGUGACGAGUCUCAUCCGGUAAAGCGAAUGAUUAGAGGCAUUGGGGCCGAAACGACCUCAACCUAUUCUCAAACUUUAAAUAGAUGAGAACUCCGGCUUGCUUGAAAGUGAAGCCGGAGAUUCGGAUCAGAGUGCCCAGUGGGCCAAUUUUGGUAAGCAGAACUGGCCGUUGUGGA
rnacentral:rRNA from 1 species